ACAGAUGGGAGCUUGCUCCCUGAUGUUAGCGGCGGACGGGUGAGUAACACGUGCCAAGGUAGGGUAACCUGCCUGUAAGACUGGGAUAACUCCGGGAAACCGGGGCUAAUACCGGAUUCGAAAUGGGCCCAAGGUUGUUUGAAUUCCCAGGGGCCGCAUGGUUCAGACAUAAAAGGUGGCUUCGGCUACCACUUACAGAUGGACCCGCGGCGCAUUAGCUAGUUGGUGAGGUAACGGCUCACCAAGGCGACGAUGCGUAGCCGACCUGAGAGGGUGAUCGGCCACACUGGGACUGAGACACGGCCCAGACUCCUACGGGAGGCAGCAGUAGGGAAUCUUCCGCAAUGGACGAAAGUCUGACGGAGCAACGCCGCGUGAGUGAUGAAGGUUUUCGGAUCGUAAAGCUCUGUUGUUAGGGAAGAACAAGUGCCGUUCAAAUAGGGCGGCACCUUGACGGUACCUAACCAGAAAGCCACGGCUAACUACGUGCCAGCAGCCGCGGUAAUACGUAGGUGGCAAGCGUUGUCCGGAAUUAUUGGGCGUAAAGGGCUCGCAGGCGGUUUCUUAAGUCUGAUGUGAAAGCCCCCGGCUCAACCGGGGAGGGUCAUUGGAAACUGGGGAACUUGAGUGCAGAAGAGGAGAGUGGAAUUCCACGUGUAGCGGUGAAAUGCGUAGAGAUGUGGAGGAACACCAGUGGCGAAGGCGACUCUCUGGUCUGUAACUGACGCUGAGGAGCGAAAGCGUGGGGAGCGAACAGGAUUAGAUACCCUGGUAGUCCACGCCGUAAACGAUGAGUGCUAAGUGUUAGGGGGUUUCCGCCCCUUAGUGCUGCAGCUAACGCAUUAAGCACUCCGCCUGGGGAGUACGGUCGCAAGACUGAAACUCAAAGGAAUUGACGGGGGCCCGCACAAGCGGUGGAGCAUGUGGUUUAAUUCGAAGCAACGCGAAGAACCUUACCAGGUCUUGACAUCCUCUGACAAUCCUAGAGAUAGGACGUCCCCUUCGGGGGCAGAGUGACAGGUGGUGCAUGGUUGUCGUCAGCUCGUGUCGUGAGAUGUUGGGUUAAGUCCCGCAACGAGCGCAACCCUUGAUCUUAGUUGCCAGCAUUCAGUUGGGCACUCUAAGGUGACUGCCGGUGACAAACCGGAGGAAGGUGGGGAUGACGUCAAAUCAUCAUGCCCCUUAUGACCUGGGCUACACACGUGCUACAAUGGACAGAACAAAGGGCAGCGAAACCGCGAGGUUAAGCCAAUCCCACAAAUCUGUUCUCAGUUCGGAUCGCAGUCUGCAACUCGACUGCGUGAAGCUGGAAUCGCUAGUAAUCGCGGAUCAGCAUGCCGCGGUGAAUACGUUCCCGGGCCUUGUACACACCGCCCGUCACACCACGAGAGUUUGUAACAGCAAUUUUGCCCAAACCCGAAGUCGGUGAGGUAACCUUUUAGGAGCCAGCCGCCGAAGGUGGGACAGAUGAUUGGGGUGAAGU
rnacentral:rRNA from 1 species